UCUGUUCCAGUGUUUGACUUCUCCUGGAGUAAAACUUUUCUUUUUUUGUUUUGUUUUUCCUAUUUAUACAGACUUUCACAGGUGUUCACUUUGUGUUCAUCACUUGUUAUCCUGUCACUGGGCAGAAUCUGGCUCCCUCUUCCUCAUUCCUUCCUAUCAAGAAUUUGUAUCAUCAACAAGAUCCCCCUACGCCUCUUCUUUUCCAGGCUGAACGGUCUCAGUUCUUUCAGCUUCUCUUCAUGUCAAAUUAUCCUCUUCCUUUGUUAUUUUUGCGCCCCUUCACUGCACCUGCUGCAGUAGCUUCCUGUCUCAUACCAGUAAGCCCAGAGCUCCAGAUGUAUCGCACCAGAACUGAGUACAGGAGAGGGAAUUCCUCUGCUGACCUGCUGUCAAUGCCUUGCCUAACGUGACUCUGGAGGUCGUUGACUUCCUCUGCUGUGAAGGCACAGUGUUGGCUUGUGGUCAGCUUUUUGUCCUGCAGAACCCAGAUUCCUCUCUGUAGUGCUUCUCCUCAUCCUGUCAUUAUGUACUGGGGAGUCAUUUCUUGACAGACACAGGACUUUGCAUUUCUUCUUGUUGAAUAUCACACGAUUCUUUUCAGCCUAAUACUGCAGCCAAUCCAGCUCCCUUUGAAUGGCAGCGCACUCAACUAGUGCCUCAGCAGCAAUGUUGUACCAUCUACAAACUUGAUGAGAGUGCACUUUGUCCAGACGUUCAGGCCAUUAAUGAAGAUAGACAGUGUUGGCCCUGAUGUUGUCCCCUGGCAUACUUGUUGUGGUUUCAGGAUUUCUGCUAUUGGUAUUCCACAUCGUAACAUCAGGUAAUGCACAGGGAGUUAAAGAGUUAAGGCUUCAGUUCCAUGGACUGUUGAUAGUUCCAGGUACAUUUCACAGAAGAGAAAGAAUGAACUGUAUCUCCCAGAAUACCUCACUGUUCCAUUUCCAUUUUCUGUUUAAAGGGAAAGAGAAAACUGGGAGUCAUGAGACUUCUUUUUCUGCUUGGCUCUGCAGUGUAUGCUCCCUAGCUGUCUCACCUUCAACAUUAGAGUAAGGCCUUUGGUUUUAGACAAUCUCUUGUUUGGUUUAUUAGUUACAAUUCCAAUUGUAUUGUGUUACAUUGCAUUCUCUCACAUUGUGCUCUAAUACUUAGUGAAUUAAUUUUCUCCCUUAGCUCGUUGCUGCUGUUUUGUUUUUAGACCCAUCACAGGGUCCCCCUGUGCCAUUUAGUCAAGGAACCAGGUUGAACCAGGCCAGAACUGUGACAGUGCUGUAUCUGAAUAACUGGGUAAAAGUCACGAGGUGCACUGAGCAGGACUUAUGCUCCACCAUACAUUUUUGUUGAGUUUGUAAUAUAGAGCUGGUUGUAUGGAAGUGGAGCUUAAUUGUAACUUUCCUAAAAUCAGAACGCUGUAAUGUUGUAAUUCCAAAGAUGUUCACUAUAUGUUUCCCAUUUACGAGUAUUUAUAGCUGACCUACUGUUACUGAAUCCUCGCUAAUUUUGUAUUUACUUUUAUUCUUUGAGAGAUAUAACUGUGAGGUGAGAAGAUGAAAAAUUCGUUGCACUCUGCGGAGAAGCAAGACAAUUUUCUUUGUAUGAAUGGCAGAACAGCCCCAUGGCAAGACUUGUAGGAAAUUGCUGACCUUCACACAAUCACCAUUCAUCCAUACCCUGUUCUCAUCAAAGUCCACGCACUGGAGAUAAUGGAGGUCCUUGCUGUGAAGAAAGGGAAAUAGAGAUGCAAGGGAAUGAUGGAGCUGAAAAGAAGUACAAUAAGAGAGUUUGGCAAACUUUUUUCACAGGACAAUGAUUGAUCAGUUUGCUCUCUUCUAUUUAUGAAUCAUCUGGAAGUGG